AGUGGCAGACGAGCGAGUAAUAUGCACUUAACUUGCCCUUGAGAUGAGAACAACUAUGGAGACAUAGCUAAUUCUCAAUAUGCUCACGAUGGUGAAAUCCCAAUGUGAGGAAAGAUUUAUCGCUCAAGGAGAGGGGUGUAUCCUAUCAGGUAGUUGGUAAGGUAACGGCUUACCAAGCCUAUGACGGGUAGCCGGUUUGAGAUGAUGAUCGGCCGCGAUGGGACUGAGACACGGCCCAUACUCCUACGGGAGGCAGCAGUGGGGAAUAUUGCACAAUGGACGAAAGUCUGAUGCAGCGAUUCUGCGUGGAGGAUGAAGCAUUACGGUGUGUAAACUCCUUUUCUGGUAGAAGACGAAUGACGGUAUACCAGGAAUAAGGGACGGCUAACUAUGUGCCAGCAGCCGCGGUAAUACAUAGGUCCCAAGCGUUAUCCGGAUUUACUGGGCGUAAAGAGUCUGUAGCCGGAUAUAUAAGUCUGUUUUCAAAUACUCCGACUCAAUCGGAGAAAGGGGAUAGAUACUGUAUAUCUGGAAGUUAUUGGGGGUUAGUGGAAUUUCAGGUGGAGCGGUGAAAUGCGUUGAUAUCUGAAAGAACGCCGAAAGCGAAAGCCGCUAACUACAAUAAACUUGACGGUAAGAGACGAAAGCUUGGGGAGCGAACGGGAUUAGAUACCCCGGUAGUCCAAGCUGUAAAUUAUGCAUGCUAGAUGUUUUGGACCCUCGUGGUCUGGAGUGUCGUAAUCUAACGAGUUAAGCAUGCCGCCUGGGUAGUAUAUUCGCAAGAAUGAAACUCAAAGGGAUAGGCGGGGGAACACACAAGCAGUGGAUUAUCUAGAUUAAUUGGAUUCUAAGCCAAAAAUCUUACCUAAAUUUGACAUGUACUAUGUCCUAUGUGAAAGCAUAGUAGUCCGAGCAAUCGGACGUGGUACACAGGUGGUGCAUGCUCGUCGUCAGCUCGUGCCGCAAGGUGUUUAGUUAAGUCUGGAAACGAGCGCAACCCUCAUCGUUAGUUAGAAUGUCUAGCGAGACUGCUCGGGUAACCGAGAGGAAGGAGAGGAUGACGUCAGAUCCUCAUGCCUCUUACACCUAGGGCGUCAUAGAUAAUACAAUGGGUAGGUACAGCGAGAAGCGAUACCGCGAGGUGGAGCAAAUCUUUAAAACUACCCCUAGUUCGGAUUGUAGUCUGGAACUCGACUACAUGAAGUCGGAAUUGCUAGUAAUGGCGGGUCAGCAUACCGCCGUGAAUACGUCCCUGUUCCUUGCACUCACCGCC
rnacentral:rRNA from 1 species